UGCAUGGCUCGUGGGGUGGGGGCUGUGGGCGCUGAUGUAGGACAGAACUGGGGGGGCACAGAGACCCUGGGGUUCGCCCCUUCUCCCCUCUCCUCCCGGGUGUCUGCAGGGCUGAAGGAGGGAGGCUCUGGGAGAGCGGCUGCGGCCAGAGGGAACCUGCCCUGCCUGGCACAGGGCACUGGGCUCCAGCCGGGAGGAGCUUUAGUGCCCGCACUCCUGCCCAGCUGCCAUUUUCUUUCUUAGGCUUUCUUCCAGUUGCCGUGGUAUUUCUUGCAGGACUCGUCAUAGGCGUUGCACUUACAGCACUGGCAAGGAAUAAGCCCGUGGACUUCACUAUAAAUUCCACGGGUCUGCAUCUCUGUGUUGGGGAAAAACAAGAGGACGAUCCUCCAAAGUGCAGCCCAUACAAUGAGGUCCUGAAGAAGGACUCCUGAUUACCAUGGCUAGUGGACAGAAACAGAUUUCCUUCCUUCCAAGAGGUCUGAUUGAUGUCUUCCCACUGCAGGAACUGGAAAGCUGUUGUAUUGUGCUUUUUGUUUUAUUAGUAGGUUUAUGGUUUGAUUUGUAAUUUGGUUGAUUUCUUUAUGCUGUUUUCCUUUUGUCUCCACCUUUUCCCAGUUAUUUUUUCAGCUAGUUUCUGUUUCUCCAGACUUUAGCAGUUUACUGAAACUGUUUUUCU